rnacentral:rRNA from 1 species
AUGGGCGAGACGAUUGAGGAUUUGGCACGCGAUGUCUCGGCGGUGCUUCUGCAGGCCAACGGUGAGCAAGAAGGGGCCGCCAUGGACAUGCAGAUAUGUAUGCUGCGCGAGCGGGUGCGCGAGCAGAUGGACGAACUAGUGCAGAGUUUGAUCUCGGCAGACAGGGAACAAGAGAAGCGGCAGGCGAUCCCCAAGUUGCAGUCCAUCGCCGAUACUAUCGGGCGGCUCUGUGUAGCCCACGGCCAACCGCCGGCCAUCGAGGAGUUGGAUGACGAGAAGGUCGAGGUGACGGACAGCGGCAACCAGCUGAAGGAGAAGGAGGAGAAAGAGGAAGAUGAUGAGACGGACAUGAGCGGCGGGGAAGGCGGAGUCGCGGAAGAAUCGGCGGUGGGCGGAGACAAUGCAGCCGCCGAGACCAACGCGUCCACGGAGACCAACCGGGCAUGCGACGAAGUCGACUACGCCGAGUACGAGGAGGAGGCAUUCGCUCGCUUCCGCAGGGGCUGGGAGCAUCUCUACGGCAACACCAAAAACAGCUUCGAAGACCUGACCUUGUUCAGUCCCAUGCUCUUUACACACUCCACGCCGGGCUUCAAGCCAAUGGACGCCGUCCUCGUGAGCACCGUGCGUGCAGAUCUGCUCCAUCAAAAUCACCGACUUGAAACACUUCGAGUGGCCGCUGCAAGUGUACGGCGUGGUUGCUGCCCGAGAUGCCGUGGAUGA